rnacentral:lncRNA from 1 species
CCAUUUUUAUGUUAUAUAUGUGGAUGAGCUUUCUGGAAGCAACUAACUGACCUAGGAACUCAAACUCCUAAAUUAGGCUUUUUUUUUUUUUUCAGUUUUCUUACCUAAUACAGACCGAGCCCAAACUUCAAAUAUCGACACCCUCAAACACUAGUAGCAAGGUUUAGCUUUAUAUCAUCUAUGCAGACAUCUGCAACUCAAAUGUAAGAAGCCCCACAAAUUAUCUGUGUGCAAAAGAAUAGGCAUGGGGCAGUUAAAUCAAAGAAAUGUAAUUUGCAGAGAAUCACAUAAGGAAAUUUAUUCAGAUUCCCUCAGCUCAGCCAUUCUUGCUAUUAUAUUGCAAUUUUAAAUUUGUUGAAUGUAAGUGCCUCCAUUCAUAUAUAUCGCAAGGGAGCCUCAUUCCUCCCAGGGAACUGGAGAGGGACUCUACCACCAAAAACUGACCUGUUGGAUGACUCCUACCUUUUGCUGCUCCUCAGCAUCUUGGUUCUACGUUUGAAGGCUUAA